GUAGGUGAACCUGCGGAAGGAUCAUUAACACGUAUCCAACGUUAAACAACCCCGUGAACCUUCAGCCUGCUCUCGUAGCCCACGCGGCAACAGCAAUCCCGGUAAAUCAUUGACGACCAGUUUUGAUUCGGAACCUCUGUUACGAUAUAGUGGCAUGGCGUCCCCAAGCAGAAUCCAGAGAAUGAAAGGAUCACUGGCUGCGCAAGGAUAACGCCUCACGGUUGCUAGAGGUCGAUCACCGACCGGCAGA
rnacentral:misc_RNA from 1 species